UACGGAGGGGGCUAGCGUUGUUCGGAAUUACUGGGCGUAAAGCGCACGUAGGCGGCUUUGUAAGUUAGAGGUGAAAGCCCGGGGCUCAACUCCGGAACUGCCUUUAAGACUGCAUCGCUAGAAUUGUGGAGAGGUAAGUGGAAUUCCGAGUGUAGAGGUGAAAUUCGUAGAUAUUCGGAAGAACACCAGUGGCGAAGGCGACUUACUGGACACAUAUUGACGCUGAGGUGCGAAAAGCGUGGGGAGCAAACAGG
rnacentral:rRNA from 1 species